GACGGAGGUGGCGAGCGUUGUUCGGAAUUACUGGGCAUAAAGGGCACGUAGGUGGUCCGACAGGUCAAGGGUGAAAUCCCCCGGCCCAACCGGGGAACGGCCCUUGAAACCGGCGGACUAGAGUGGAAGAGGGGAGAGUGGAACUCGCGGUGGAGCGGUGAAAUGCGUAGAGAUCGCGAGGAACGCCGGUGGCGAAAGCGACUCUCUGGAUUCCAACUGACACUGAGGUGCGAAAGCUAGGGGAGCGAACGGGAUUAGAUACCCCUGUA
rnacentral:rRNA from 1 species